AUUGAACGCUGGCGGCAGGCCUAACACAUGCAAGUCGAGCGAGCGGCGGACGGGUGAGUAAUGUAUGGGGACUGCCUGAUAGAGGGGGAUAACUACUGGAAACGGUGGCUAAUACCGCAUACUACCGUAUGACCCAUAUGGGAUUAGCUAGUAGGUGGGGUAAAGGCUCACCUAGGCGACGAUCCUUAGCUGGUCUGAGAGGCUGAUCAGCCACACUGGGACUGAGACACGGCCCAGACUCCUACGGAGGCAGCAGUGGGGAAUAUUCCACAAUGGGCGCAAGCCUGAUGCAGCCAUGCCGCGUGUAUGAAGAAGGCCUUAGGGUUGUAAAGUACUGUCAGCAGGGAGGCGUUACCCGCAGAAGAAGCACCGGCUAACUCCGUGCCAGCAGCCGCGGUAAUUC
rnacentral:rRNA from 1 species